rnacentral:rRNA from 1 species
UACGUAGGGGGCAAGCGUUGUCCGGAAUCAUUGGGCGUAAAGAGCGUGUAGGCGGCCCGAUAAGUCAGACGUGAAAUCCCUCGGCUUAACCGGGGAACUGCGUCUGAUACUGGAUGGCUUGAGUUCGGGAGAGGGAUGCGGAAUUCCAGGUGUAGCGGUGAAAUGCGUAGAUAUCUGGAGGAACACCGGUGGCGAAGGCGGCGAUCCUGGACCGACACUGACACUGAGGAGCGAAAGCCAGGGGAGCAAACGGG